AUUGAACGCUGGCGGCAUGCCUUACACAUGCAAGUCGAACGGCAGCACGGGAGCAAUCCUGGUGGCGAGUGGCGAACGGGUGAGUAAAGUAUCGGAACGUGCCCAGUCGUGGGGGAUAACGUAGCGAAAGUUACGCUAAUACCGCAUACGAUCUAUGGAUGAAAGCGGGGGAUCACAAGACCUCGCGCGAUUGGAGCGGCCGAUAUCAGAUUAGGUAGUUGGUGGGGUAAAGGCUCACCAAGCCGACGAUCUGUAGCUGGGCUGAGAGGACGACCAGCCACAAUGGGACUGAGACACGGCCCAGACUCCGACGGGAGGCAGCAGUGGGGAAUUUUGGACAAUGGGCGAAAGCCUGAUCCAGCCAUGCCGCGUGCAGGAUGAAGGCCUUCGGGUUGUAAACUGCUUGUGUACGGAACGAAAAGGUUUGGGCUAAUAAGCUGAGCUCAUGACGGUACCGUAAGAAUAAGCACCGGCUAACUACGUGCCAGCCGCCGCAGUAA
rnacentral:rRNA from 1 species